rnacentral:rRNA from 1 species
CAGCAGCCGCGGUAAUACCGGCGGCCCGAGUGGCGGUCACUAUUAUUGGGCUUAAAGCGUCCGUAGCCGGGUUGGGAAGUCCUCCGGGAAAUCUGGCCGCUUAACGGUCAGAAUGCCGGAGGAUACUCCCAGCCUAGGGAGCGGGAGAGGCCGAGGGGAUUCCCGGAGUAGGGGGGAAAUCCUAUAAUCCCGGGAGGACCACCUGUGGCGAAGGCGCUCGGCUGGAACGCGUCCGACGGUGAGGGACGAAGGCCAGGGGAGCAAACCGGAUUAGAUACCCGGGUAGUCCUGGCUGUAAACGAUGCGGACUAGGUGUCGGGCAAGCUAAGGGCUUGUCCGGUGCCGCAGGGAAGCCGUUAAGUCCGCCGCCUGGGGAGUACGGCCGCAAGGCUGAAACUUAAAGGAAUUGGCGGG